GCCAGCGUGGCGUAGCAGUUUGAGCAUUGGACUACAACUUUGGAGGCCAGGGAUCGAAUCCCGGCUCGGCCA